CAGCAGCCGCGGUAAUACGUAGGUGGCGAGCGUUGUCCGGAAUUACUGGGUGUAAAGGGAGCGCAGGCGGGGAGACAAGUUGGAUGUGAAAUACCGAGGCUUAACCUCGGGGCUGCAUCCAAAACUGUAUCUCUUGAGUGAAGUAGAGGUAGGCGGAAUUCCGAGUGUAGCGGUGGAAUGCGUAGAUAUUCGGAGGAACACCAGUGGCGAAGGCGGCCUACUGGGCUUUAACUGACGCUGAGGCUCGAAAGUGUGGGGAGCAAACAGGAUUAGAUACCCUGGUAGUCCACACUGUAAACGAUGAUUACUAGGUGUGGGGGGUCUGACCCCCUCUGUGCCGCAGUUAACGCAAUAAGUAAUCCACCUGGGGAGUACGAUCGCAAGGUUGAAACUCAAAGGAAUUGACGGGGGCCCGCACAAGCAGUGGAUUAUGUGGAUUAAUUCGAAGCAACGCGAAGAACCUUACCAGGUCUUGACAUCGAGUGACGAACUAAGAGAUUAGUUCUUCCUUCGGGACACAAAGACAGGAGGUGCAUGGCC
rnacentral:rRNA from 1 species